ACAUGCAUACAACAUAGCGUUAAUGCACAGUAUCCCAUUAGAACUCUGCAGUUAAGUGUGCUAGAGUAGUAUUGGGAUGGGUGAGUGCCUGAGAAGUCCUAGUGUUUUACAUGCC
rnacentral:rRNA from 1 species